UGGCGGAAACCAAAAAGCGGUAUAUCACUGUUAAUGAUAAAAUUGAGUUAUCACUCCCACCAA
rnacentral:tRNA from 1 species